ensembl:lncRNA
GAAAUAUCCUCACCAGCAUGUACCUCUGUGUGUGAUACUACUUUAAGGUCUAUAUAACUCCUUUCAGUUUAUCAUCGUCUGUACUAUCAGCAGCAGUUACACUGUUACUUUGACACCUGGACAAAUAUGGACGCAUUGAAACUGUUCUUUAUUCUGCUUCUACCACUAACUGCAUGUUCACAAGAUUUGGGAGGAGAAACUGUUGUGAAAACAAUUGGGAAGCAACCAGAUGUCACUCAAAUAUGCACCAAUGAAACACAGAACAUCAUCACACUGAUAGUUUGUACGAUCAGAACUCAGAGAAGUGGAGGAGGAAAUUGUGUUCUGCUGUAUGAACAUGCACGGGGCUUUGAGCACAAAUGUGACUCCAGGUUCACACUGAUGAAAGAAAAUCAGACUGUGUUUCUCCACCUGAUCAAUUUAACAUCAGAGGACAGUGGGAGCUACAGCUGUCAGUGUACAAGUCCUGGAAGAACAAAUAUUCUCCAUCUUAAUGUCACUGUGGAAGGUAAACAAGAACUAAGCAGCAGGUCUGGAACAGAAACAGUUCCUCUUACACUGAUUUGUGUAACUGUGUUCAUCAUUGUGAACUUAGUUAUCUUUGGAUUUAUUCACGCACGACUGCGCCACAGGAUGGAAAUACACAAGAUGACCCUUACACAAACCUUCAGCAUGCAACAAACAAUCUCUACCAAACUGUCACCUCAGAUCACCAAAAACACAAUGCAACUACAAAUUAAGCACACUAAUUGUCUGUUGUUGUGAUUAGAUUUGGCCUUUAUAAUCAAACUCUUUAACAUAUGUAAAUGUUAACAGUUAUAUAUAAUAUAUUUAUAUAUAAUAUGUAAAAUAUAUAAUAAUAACUGUAGGUGGCACAUGAGUAUUAGUUUUCUAAGAGAAAUUGUUUUGGAUGAUCAUUACCUGCCUUUACUUUCACUGUUUUGUAGUAACUGAGGCCAUUCAGUCAUGACACUCCAGCUCUUUGAAACAGGUUCACAGAUUUAUACGUGUAUACUCUGGAAAAAUGGCUGACAGUAUAAAAAUGCAAUAAACUGUGUCAAAUAUGACUCCUCGUGUAGCAUUUUUAAAGCACAUUUCUUUUACUGUCUUUUACUGAUGUUACUGAUUGUGACGUGUCACAGUCAGACUUUUCAAAUUACAGAUACACAGAGAUAUCAGUCUGGC